rnacentral:rRNA from 1 species
UACGUAGGGGGCAAGCGUUGUCCGGAAUCAUUGGGCGUAAAGAGCGUGUAGGCGGCCAGAAAAGUCCGCUGUGAAAACUCGAGGCUCAACUUCGAGCUGUCGGUGGAAACUUUCUGGCUAGAGUCCGGAAGAGGAGAAUGGAAUUCCUGGUGUAGCGGUGAAAUGCGCAGAUAUCAGGAAGAACACCCGUGGCGAAGGCGGUUCUCUGGGACGGUACUGACGCUGAGACGCGAAAUCGUGGGGAGCGAACAGG